rnacentral:rRNA from 1 species
UACGGAGGGUGCAAGCGUUGUCCGGAUUUAUUGGGUUUAAAGGGUGCGUUAGGCGGCUAUUUAAGUCAGUGGUGAAAUCCUGCAGCUUAACUGUAGAACAGCCAUUGAUACUGGAUAGCUUGAGUACAGACGAGGUAGGCGGAAUUUAUGGUGUAGCGGUGAAAUGCAUAGAUACCAUAAAGAACCCCUAUUGCGAAGGCAGCUUACUAGGCUGUAACUGACGCUGAGGCACGAAAGCGUGGGGAUCAAACAGG